UCAGGACGAACGCUGGCGGCGUGCUUCAUACAUGCAAGUCGAACGAUAAGGCACCUUCGGGUGUACAUAAGUGGCGGACGGGUGAGUAAUAUGUAGAGAAUCUGCCCUAGAGAGUGGGACAACAGUUGGAAACGACUGCUAAUACCGCAUAUGAGCGUACCUGAAAUGGUAUUCUUGAAAACUCCGGUGCUCUGGGAUGAGUCCGCAUCUGAUUAGCUAGUUGGGGGUGUAAUGGACCACCAAGGCGACGAUCAGUAGCUGGUUUGAGAGGAUGAUCAGCCACAAUGGGACUGAGACACGGCCCAUACUCCUACGGGAGGCAGCAGUAGGGAAUUUUGCGCAAUGGGGGAAACCCUGACGCCAGCAACGCCGCGUGACCGAUGAAGCCCUUCGGGGUGUAAAGGUCUGUCAGUGGGGACGAAUAUUGACGGUACCCACAGAGGAAGCAUCGGCUAACUCCGUGCCAGCCGCAGC
rnacentral:rRNA from 1 species